GACGAACGCUGGCGGCGUGCCUAAUACAUGCAAGUAGAACGCACAGUUUAUACCGUAGCUUGCUACACCAUAGACUGUGAGUUGCGAACGGGUGAGUAACGCGUAGGUAACCUGCCUGGUAGCGGGGGAUAACUAUUGGAAACGAUAGCUAAUACCGCAUAAUAUUAAUUAUUGCAUGAUAAUUAAUUGAAAGGUGCAAUUGCACCACUACCAGAUGGACCUGCGUUGUAUUAGCUAGUAGGUGAGGUAACGGCUCACCUAGGCGACGAUACAUAGCCGACCUGGGAGGGUGAUCGGCCACACUGGGACUGAGACACGGCCCAGACUCCUACGGGAGGCAGCAGUAGGGAAUCUUCGGCAAUGGACGAAAGUCUGACCGAGCAACGCCGCGUGAGUGAAGAAGGUUUUCGGAUCGUAAAGCUCUGUUGUAAGAGAAGAACGGGUGCGAGAGUGGAAAGUUCACACUGUGACGGUAUCUUACCAGAAAGGGACGGCUAACUACGUG
rnacentral:rRNA from 1 species